UGAACGCUAGCGACAGGCCUAACACAUGCAAGUCAGGGGCAGCACAAGGAGCAAUCUGAGGUGGCGACCGGCGCACGGGUGAGUAACACGUAUGCAACCUGCCUGUAAGCGGGGAAUAACCCGUUGAAAGACGGACUAAUACCGCAAUAAUACUAAAUUACUGCAUGGUAAUUUAUUUAAACAUUUAUGGCUUACAGAUGGGCAUGCGCAUGAUUAGCUAGUUGGAGAGGUAACGGCUCCCCAAGGCAACGAUCGAUUAGGGGUUCUGAGAGGAAGGUCCCCCACACUGGUACUGAGACACGGACCAGACUCCUACGGGAGGCAGCAGUGAGGAAUAUUGGUCAAUGGACGAGAGUCUGAACCAGCCAAGUCGCGUGCAGGAAGAAUGUCCCUAUGGAUUGUAACUGCUUUUGCAGGGGAAUAAAGUGACAUCACGUGUGAUGUUUUGUAUGUACUCUGCGAAUAAGGAUCGGCUAACUCCGUGCCAGCCGCUGC
rnacentral:rRNA from 1 species